rnacentral:rRNA from 1 species
UACGUAGGGUGCAAGCGUUGUCCGGAAUUAUUGGGCGUAAAGAGCUCGUAGGCGGUUUGUCGCGUCUGCUGUGAAAACUCGGGGCUUAACUCCGGGCCUGCAGUGGGUACGGGCAGACUAGAGUGCGGUAGGGGAGACUGGAAUUCCUGGUGUAGCGGUGAAAUGCGCAGAUAUCAGGAGGAACACCGGUGGCGAAGGCGGGUCUCUGGGCCGUAACUGACGCUCAUGCACGAAAGCGUGGGGAGCAAACAGG